AAUGCCUAGGAAUCUGCCUAGUAGUGGGGGAUAACGUCCGGAAACGGGCGCUAAUACCGCAUACGUCCUACGGGAGAAAGUGGGGGAUCUUCGGACCUCACGCUAUUAGAUGAGCCUAGGUCGGAUUAGCUAGUUGGUGAGGUAAUGGCUCACCAAGGCUACGAUCCGUAACUGGUCUGAGAGGAUGAUCAGUCACACUGGAACUGAGACACGGUCCAGACUCCUACGGGAGGCAGCAGUGGGGAAUAUUGGACAAUGGGCGAAAGCCUGAUCCAGCCAUGCCGCGUGUGUGAAGAAGGUCUUCGGAUUGUAAAGCACUUUAAGUUGGGAGGAAGGGCAGUUACCUAAUACGUGAUUGUUUUGACGUUACCGACAGAAUAAGCACCGGCUAACUCUGUGCCAGCAGCCGCGGUAAUACAGAGGGUGCAAGCGUUAAUCGGAAUUACUGGGCGUAAAGCGCGCGUAGGUGGUUUGUUAAGUUGAAUGUGAA
rnacentral:rRNA from 1 species